rnacentral:rRNA from 1 species
GGCAUCUAAGCGGGAAACCCACCUGAAAACGAGUAUUCCCUAUCAGAGCCGUGGAAGACGACCACGUUGAUAGGCCGGGUGUGGAAGUGCGGCAACGCAUGAAGCUUACCGGUACUAAUAGCUCGAUUGGCUUGAUCGUUCUCAUU